UUGGCUUGUUUUUUGGCGUAUUUUAGUUGAAUGUCUUUCUUCCUUUAGAGAAUGCUGGAUCAAGCUGAAGUUGUGGAGAAAUCUUCAACAUUAACAUUACACAAAUCUAUCAUUGGGGAUCCAAUAUGUAUAUUAUGUCUAUGUCUUUUCUUUAAUGCAAGUCCAAAUCCCACUCAUAAUCAAUUGUGCUUGAUGGAACUUCUGUUUUUGUUUCUCGAUCCUCUAGCCUUUACUUAUCCAGGUCAGGUUGUUCUACAAUGGUUGUGCUGUGAAGAGUACCUUGCUUUUCAAUAAAAAGAGCUGAAAGUUAAGAUGCAGCAGGACUCUAAUUGCAGCGGGUUUCUUGUAAUUGUUGAAGGUAAUUGCUUUCUUGUAUCUCGGUUUAAGAUACUAUGUGUGUUGAAUAUAAUUUAAUGAAUGGUAUCAACUAUAUAAAUCCUUGAAUUGGUGCAAUUUGGUAAUGGAUCUAUGCUAAUUAGUGGCCCACCUCUUGAAUGACAUCUGGCCCAAAAAUCUAGCUUAACGCUCAAGGCUGGAGCCUUUUGUAGCUAUAGUUGGUGUAAUAAAUGACCUGAUGAGAUACUUGCGCAAAUGCUUCCUUUGCUCCAUUGAAUUACCAAAAUUGGGAGAUGCCAUAAAUGAGCAGAGGGCUACUCUACAUUCUGCUCUAGAGAAGUGCCUUGUACAGCUAGCAAAUAAGCAAUUCAUUAAUGAAAAAUUGGGUGCUUCUGCUUGUAAGCAAAUCACCUUGACUAUCAAACUGGAGAAAAUAUGUCAAUCAUCAUCCAAUGAUUGUUGCAUGCCACCAUGAAGGUAGAGGAUGGAAAUUUUGGGGAGAGUAAUCUGAAAAGCAAAUUUUGGGGUCGUUCAAUCCAGCUUGAUCCUGUUGGUUUUCUAACUCUCGAGUUGGAUGAUGGUGAAGUUUUUCAGUGGAGUAAGGUAACAACUUUUGUGUUCUACUAAUCACCAAUCACCAAAACUUGGACUAUUCCUUUUCAGGAGAUAAUUGAUAUGGUGAGACCAUUCCUUUUGUGUCAAUUUCAUUCCUCUUUGAGUUUUUAUUAAUUCAUUAAGAAAAAAGAAAAGAAAAUGAUCAUACAUGAUGCACUUCUUUCACUUUAUCUUUUUUUCCCCCAAUGGUCAUUCUGAUUUAUGAAUGCCAUGACUACUUGUAGGAUGAUGGAAUAUAUGAAGCUGUUGCAGGAAGUGACUUUCUCAUUACUAGAGUUGCAUUUCGAGAUAACUCUUCAAAGUACUACAUAAAUGACCGUGGAAGUAAUUUUACAGAGGUCACUAAGAAAUUGAAAGGAAAAGUAGUGGACUUGAACAAUUGUAAUUUCAACAUUAUUGUAAUUG